AACUUUUAAAGGCCGGAAGUAUUUAGCCGUUGGCCUUAGAAGCCAAACUCCU
rnacentral:tRNA from 1 species